UACGUAGGUGGCAAGCGCUAUCCGGAAUUAUUGGGCGUAAAGAGCGCGCAGGUGGUUAAUUAAGUCUGAUGUGAAAGCCCACGGCUUAACCGUGGAGGGUCAUUGGAAACUGGUUGACUUGAGUGCAGAAGAGGGAAGUGGAAUUCCAUGUGUAGCGGUGAAAUGCGUAGAGAUAUGGAGGAACACCAGUGGCGAAGGCGGCUUCCUGGUCUGCAACUGACACUGAGGCGCGAAAGCGUGGGGAGCAAACAGG
rnacentral:rRNA from 1 species